rnacentral:tRNA from 1 species
GCAGGUGUAGCUCAGUGAUUGAGCUCCUGCUUUACAUGUAUGAGGUCCUGGGUUCAAUCCCCAGUACCUCCU